CCUACGGGGGGCAGCAGUGAGGAAUAUUGGUCAAUGGACGAGAGUCUGAACCAGCCAAGUAGCGUGAAGGAUGACUGCCCUAUGGGUUGUAAACUUCUUUUAUAAAGGAAUAAAACGAGGCACGUGUGCCUUUUUGCAUGUACUUUAUGAAUAAGGAUCGGCUAACUCCGGGCCAGCAGCCGCGGUAAUACGGAGGAUCCGAGCGUUAUCCGGAUUUAUUGGGUUUAAAGGGAGCGUAGAUGGGUUGUUAAGUCAGUUGUGAAAGUUUGCGGCUCAACCGUAAAAUUGCAAUUGAUACUGGCAGUCUAGAGUACAGUUGAGGUAGGCGGAAUGCGUGGUGUAGCGGUGAAAUGCUUAGAUAUCACGAAGAACCCCGAUUGCGAAGGCAGCUUACUAAACUGUGACUGACAUUGAUGCUCGAAAGUGUGGGUAUCAAACAGGAUUAGAUACCCGAGUAGUC
rnacentral:rRNA from 1 species